rnacentral:rRNA from 1 species
AGCAGUAGCCGCGGUAAGACAGAGGAUGCAAGCGUUAUCCGGAAUGAUUGGGCGUAAAGGGAGCGCAGGCGGACAUAUAAGUCCAUCUUAAAAGUGCGGGGCUCAACCCCGUGAGGGGAUGGAAACUGUAUGCCUUGAGUGCAGGAGAGGAAAGCGGAAUUCCCAGUGUAGCGGUGAAAUGCGUAGAUAUAUGGAGGAACACCGGUGGCGAAAGCGGCUCUCUGGCUUGUAACUGACGCUGAGGCUCGAAAGCGUGGGGAGCAAACAGGAUUAGAUACCCCGGUAGUCCCUGUCUCUUAUACC